UGCAUAAAGGGACAAGAAUUGGAUGCCU
rnacentral:piRNA from 1 species